AGCGGCCAUAGGAAGAGGGCCACACCCGUUCCCAUCUCGAACACGGAAGUUAAGCCUCUUCACGGCGUUGUGUGUACUGAGCUACGCUCGGGAAAACGCGCUGCUGC
rnacentral:rRNA from 1 species